CUGUGGUGUAAGCUGUCAAUCAGUCAUUUUCAGUCAGCUAUCAGUAAGUGUAGGUCGGCCUAGGAAUUAAAAUUCUGAAUAAAAUUCAUUGUGCAACCAUGGAGUGGACGGUACCAGUAAAUGAGGUAUUAAGGGAAGAAAUAACUAAAGUGAACUACACCCUCAUACCACCAGGGUUCCAGGGGGAUGUGCGGAGCAUUCGGGUGAUGCAGGAUAGCCUGUCAAAGUUAAUCGACGUGCUCGGUGAGCAGUCCGCAUCAGCGCAGGCGCUCAACAAAAUUAUAACUACCGCCGACAAACUGCGCAACUCGCCCGCGCACACGCUGUACCUGCUGAAAGAUGCUAAUGCAAACAGUGGCAAGGGCGAGCUGAUCGGGAUGCUGAAGGUGGGCCGCAAGCACCUGUUCCUGUUCGACGAGCGCGACAAGGUGUGCGAGGUGGAGCCGCUGUGCGUGCUCGACUUCUACGUGGUGCCCGACCGCCAGCGGCACGGGCUCGGCAAGAUGCUCUUCGACCACAUGCUGAAGGACAUGGAGUGUUCGCCGCUGGAGAUGGCGAUAGACGGGCCGUCGGCCAAGAUGGAGAGCUUCCUGGCGAAGAAUUACGGCGUGGAGCGGCUCGUGCGCCAAAACAACAACUUCGCCGUCGCGCCCCAGUUCUUCUCCAACGCCGUCGAUGUCAGUAAGUCCGGCCGCAGCACGCCGGUGGUGCAACCCGCCGUCGGCAGGUUCGCGGCUCACAAGCCACCUUCGGCCAUCGCUACGUUAUUACAGUGGCAAUAGAAGAGACGCGCCACGCAAAUACAUUUAACAGUAUCCAUAUGCACUGCGGCGGUGAUCCACGGCGGCGGCAACGGCUACAAAGGGAAAAAUAACGAGUAC
rnacentral:misc_RNA from 1 species